UGUGUUGUAUGUGGACAACCCAUACUAAGAAUCAGGCAAUGCAGAAUUUUGAUUGAAGAAGAACAAAGAAUGGCGUACACAAUUGCUACUUGGAUCUAACCACGACAGCUUCAUCCUGAAGAUAAAGCUUGUGUGCGGUGUUGGUUAAGAGUGAGAACUAAGGAUACUUCACUAAAUGAAGAUAUUCAAUCCGUUCAACCUAAUCAGCAGAAAAGUGAUAAUUCUGAAAUGAUGUGUGCUGCAUGUGGUCAAAGUCUUACUCCCAACAACACUGCUUGUUUGUUGGAGCACCAGCAGACACCUUCCAUGAAUGAAGUUUGUGAAGUUUGCUGGGGCCAAGUAUGCAAUUUGAGCUUCUAUGUUCCAGAUGGUCUAUGUUGCUUCAAGCUAAAAUAAAGUCCUGCCACUCUUCUCCUAGAACUUAUUUUGUUUUCAUAGUUGCAGAAACAAAUAUGAAUAGCCGGGACACAAUCAAAAGUGAUUGCUGUAAUUGUAUUGUAGGUUUAAGAACAGUGGGAUGCUGCUCACAUGUUAUGAGCAUUCUUUGGUAUUUGAGUUAUGCCCGAC